rnacentral:rRNA from 1 species
CUGGCUCAGGAUGAACGCUAGCUACAGGCUUAACACAUGCAAGUCGAGGGGCAGCAUGAUCGAAGCUUGCUUUGAUUGAUGGCGACCGGCGCACGGGUGAGUAACGCGUAUCCAACCUUCCCUAUAGUAGAGGAUAGCCCGGCGAAAGUCGGAUUAAUACUCUAUGUUUUCCAAUGCAGACAUCUAAAAUGGAACAAAGGUUUACCGCUAUAGGAUGGGGAUGCGUCUGAUUAGAUAGUAGGCGGGGUAACGGCCCACCUAGGUCGACGAUCAGUAGGGGUUCUGAGAGGAAGGUCCCCCACAUUGGAACUGAGACACGGUCCAAACUCCUACGGGAGGCAGCAGUGAGGAAUAUUGGUCAAUGGGCGAGAGCCUGAACCAGCCAAGUAGCGUGCAAGGGAUGACUGCCCUAUGGGUUGUAAACUGCUUUUAUGCGGGGAUAAAGUGAGGUACGUGUACCUUUUUGUAUGUUACCGCAUGAAUAAGGACCGGCUAAUUCCGUGCCAGCAGCGGC